CUGCAUUCUUCUGACCACAAGAGGAAGAGAUGGGAUCUUACUAUGUUGCCCAGGAUAUACUCAAACUCUUGGCUUCAAGUGAUACUCCUGCCUCGGCCUCCCAAAUUGCUGGGAUUACAGGUGGGAGCAAAGCUUGGUCAACCUGAUAGGCCUCUUCCAGGCAGGGACAGGAGAAGGGACGGCACAGCAGCUCUGAGUCAGGACUCCUUUCGGUAAGGCGUGGACAACA